GAAAAAGAGAAGAGGAAAGAAAAGGAAAAAAAAGUGUGGAAGAAUAACAACACUUACUACUACUUAUUAAAUUGGUGAAUAAUAAUUAGGGAAGAAUCUCUGAUCCUAAUUGUCCUCAUCUUGGGUUGGUUUUCAUCUAGGGAUGGAAUAAGAAGAAAUCGGUUUCAGUCCCCAGAAGUUGCACCUUUUUCUCGCUAGAAUUGUCAGUUCCGUGAUGUCCACAGUUUCGUAUGCCAAGAUCGUCAAGAAGACGACCUCAGGAGGUGAAGAAGAGGAGGAGGAGAUCGGCCCCAAGAGUAGUCCCGCUGUGAUUCCCUCAUCUGUGCUCUUGAAGGAGCCCGCCCCUCCACCUAAAAAGAAAGCCAAUCCAGUGCCCCUCAAAGCUAAAGGGCCGGUAAAGGAAGAGUCCGGCGAAGAAGAAGCAGAAGCGGUGGAGGUGAUCAAGUAUGUGGAAGCGCCUCUUCCAAAGACGAAUCCCUGGAAGAAACCCGGGACAGGCCCUGCAGGAGUGGGAGUAGCCGCUACAGCACCCCCUGCCAACGAGUUGGAAAAGAAAGCCCCGAAACCCCAAGAACUCCCCAAGGAAAAGGAACCCGUUCUCCCUGAAUCGUUAAAAAGGGCCCCUUCAAAAGAUAAGGAAAAGAAAAUGGAUCCUGAAGUCUGGCCGACUCUAGGUGAAGGAGGAACGAUUGUCAAGAAAUCAGGGGGCUCUGAGACCAGCUCAGUUAAUAAUGACGAACCCAUCAAAAAUGAUUCGGAUCAUACUAAAGAAAAUCGGCGAAAUAAUACGGAUGUGACCAAAAAAAAGAAAAAUAAAAAAGAUAAGAAGGAAAGGUGGGUUCCUGUCAACAUUCCAAUCACAACGGAGCGGGGAGGUCGUACUUCUACUAAACGUACUUUAAGAUCCGAAACUAGUAAAAACUGGAGAGAGGAUACAAAAUCUCGAAGGGGUUUCAAGGCUAGAAGGAAUGUUUUGGGCUCUAGAGGAAGUUCAUCCCGAAGAGGAGGUUUCUUUCCUCCACGCUCUUCUAAUUUCAGAGAGGAUUAUCGUAAAAUGAAUGGUAAAAGAAACGGAGACGAUUUUUUUACCUUUUACGGGGAAGGUCUUAAUAUAUAUGGUGAUCCUAAUAAGGAUCCUUACUUUGUCACUCCUGUCCUUGGUACAACCUACUUCUAUGAUAAUCAAAUGCUCGAAGAACGACAACCUGCAGACGUUAUACCCUUUGUGAAAUCCCAAAUUGAGUACUACUUCAGUGAAACCAAUUUACUUAAGGACUUUUAUCUCCGGCGGAAAAUGGAUACAGAAGGCUACAUUCCAAUUUCCUUCGUGUGUUCCUUUCCUAGAAUGCGCGCUCUUACUCAAGAUGUUAAGGUCAUUCUUCAAUCUGUUAAAGAAUCCAGCAUCGUGGAAGUGAAGGAUGAAUUAAAGUUACGUGCCAAAGUCGAUCCUGCUAAAUGGCCCAUUGCUGCAGACCAGCCGGACCCCCCUCUCGUUAUUAGCGAAAAGUUGAAUCCUAAUGUUCCUGAAUUCAUUCCUACCUAUGGUAUGAUAGAAGGUAGAAUCCAUCCUGAAAAAGUUCCUCAUCACGAUGAUGAUGAAGAAGGGACAGAUGGGGACGAUGAGGCCGAGGAGUCGGUCGAAAAAAAUAAACAUAAUAUUUUAAAGUCACCUGUUUCUGACAAAUGGGUUGAAGUGAAAAAACGGGAUCGGAAGACCUUGCCCAAGGAUAGUGAAACAAAUUUUGACGACUCGAGGGAAGAGCUCGAGUUUAAUUUUGAUGAAGAUUUGAACAUUCCUACCGGAAGACAAAAUAAAUUUUCAUCUGUUAACGAUAGUGAUACAGACUUGGACGAAUUGAGUGAUGGGGAGAUUAAUAAGCUUGUUAUUGUUACUCAAACGCCUGUUCGUCCCAAAAAACAUGAUGGAUUUGAUCGAUCAUCUGAGUCAAUUUCCAGAGUUAAAAUGUCUCAGGAUCUUGCAAAAGUGAUUAAUGACGGAUUAUUUUAUUAUGAAAGUGAUUUAUGGGAUGAAAGAGAUGUAGAUACUUGGAUUGAGAGUAAUGAUCAAGAAAAAAAUUUAAAUGUAAUAAGCCAGGAAGAUUUUGAUAAAAUUCGAAAUGCACUGCCCACUUAUUCAUCUUCCAAUGCCUCCAGUAACAACUUGCCUCCACCUCCACCACCUUCCUACAAUGAUGGACCCAUGACACGGGGAAGCUUACACAGAUCACGACACGGCCUUAAGCAACCAAGGUUUUACCCUGUCACCAAGGAUUCUCCGAAGAAAGCUCCUGAUGUUCCCAGAAAAAGAAAGACAAGACAUUCAAGUAAUCCUCCUAUUGAAAUGCAUGUUGGUUGGAUCCUUGACUCAAAAGAGCAUCGUGAAAGAAGGGAGUCAUUCUCUGAAUCAACCACUGGAAGUCUUGGAAGCAGUUAUGGAAGUACACCACAAUCGUUACCAACAUUCCAACAUCCUUCACAUUCACUUUUAAAAGAAAACGGAUUCACCCAACUUCAAUACUCCAAAUAUCAUUCGCGUUGUCUGAAAGAGCGAAAGAAACUUGGUAUCGGUCACUCUCAAGAAAUGAAUACCCUUUUUAGAUUUUGGUCAUUCUUUAUGAGAGAAAAUUUCAACAAAAAAAUGUACGAAGAGUUUAAGGAACUUGCAUGGGAAGACGCAACGGCGGGCUAUAGAUAUGGAUUAGAGUGUUUAUUCCGGUAUUUUAGUUAUGGAUUAGAGAGGAAAUUCCGGCCGGAAUUGUACAAAGAUUUCCAGUCUGAAACGAUUAAAGAUUGUAAUGCUGGUCAACUCUAUGGUUUAGAAAAGUUUUGGGCCUUUAUAAAGUACUACAAAUACGCAGAUGAAUUAGACAUCCAACCAAGCUUAAAGGAAAAGUUAAGGAAUUUCAAACGUAUAGAAGAUUUCCAACUGUUGUACACGGAUUCUGAGACAGGAAGACGGUCGCGCAAUCCCUCAACAUCACAGCAACGAUCUCGUACACCUUCUGAAGGCGAAACGUGGACAGUAAGAUCAUCAACGAAUAAUGCUUCAUCGAAAAGUUCAUCUCUAACUGGAGGUGGAAGCAGUAACAGCAAUGCAACAACAUCAUCAUCGAAUAUGGCCUCGAGUCGGAGUAAAAGCGGUUCCACCUCCUCCUCAAGGCCUAUGGCUAUCAACAAAAAAUAAGUCGUUAAUUCAUUCUACUAUUUCUUCCCUUUUCUUUGCAAAAUCACACAACCAUAUAUAUAUAUAUAUAUAUUCAACUUAAUAUAAACUCAAUUAUUUGUGAAGAAAGGGAGGGAAUAAAUAAUCAAAGCUUGCAGUUGUUGAUUCUGAAUAUCAAAGAACCAAGAAUAUGGCACCACUAGUCAUAAGCCAAGGUUUCUUAUCACUACUACUACGACUACUUCCAGUGUAGGAUUUGAUUGAUUUUUUCUUUCUUUCUUUCUUGAACCAUUACUAUUCAUCAUCACAACAUUCAGCCUUUUCACAUACAUAUAUAUACACACUAUUUAAGAUAUCUUGGUUUUUAUACCACUUAAUUUUUUUAAGGGUUGGAUUAAAAAAAUACGUUGCGUGUGCUGUGUUUUGUGUGUAUGUAUAAUUAUUUACCAUAAUUAAUUACUAUUAUUCUCUCUUGUCCUUUUUGCCUUACCUACUCUGCGUUGUUGAUGUGACACAUAUUUUCCCUGUCGAUCUAUAUUAUUGUAUAAUAUAUAUAUAUAUAUAUCAAAAAUGCUACGACAAAACGACACAAACCUAUUCUUUUAUGGCUCAACCAUGAUGUUCUUACUUAUUGUCUAAUUAGUAACCCAUUUGUGACUACUGCCAUUGUUAAUUACACUUCUUUUUGCCAAUAAUAAUAUUAAAUCCCCUUAAAGUAAAUAAUGUAUCGUCCCUCUCUAUAAUGAAUAUUAUAUAUGUAAAUGAAUCCUUUCACGUUAUUCCACCAACCACUUAUUUUAAUUUGAGUGUUGUUGACUACUGUAUAAAUAUUGCUACUAUGCUAUCUAUAUAUUUGACUACUAUUAUGAUCCUUUUUUUUCUUUCUCUAAAGUUACAAGUCCCAGAUGAUUGUCUCUUAUUCGAUGGACAUAAUUACUUAUAAGUAAAUAUUCUACCUAUAUAUAUAUAUAUUAAAAUAAAAGCUAUUAUAUUAUAAUAAAAAUUGGAAAAAAUGGAUGAUAUAUAUUUACAAUAUAAAGAAAGAAAUCAUAAUUUAUUUGUACCUACGAUUUCUCCUUACUAUGAAAUAAUACAUAAUUCGAAAUAAAAUGAUUAAUUCAAAUUGUA
rnacentral:misc_RNA from 1 species